rnacentral:lncRNA from 1 species
CAAAAAUCUUCAAAUGCUUGUUUUCUACUAGGAGAGAUCGUAAUAUAUACUAAUGCAUUCCUAAUCCUUUGAAGUUCAUCCUUUAUAUAUUUUAAACCAUCUUGAACAAUUAAAUUCAAGAUAUGACAUACACAACGAAUAUGAAACAAAUACCCACCAAAAUCAGGUUGAAGUGUCCUACACAAUUUAUCGACGACUGCCUUAUUAACACUAGCAUUAUCAAAAGUAAAAAGCCUUGUAGAUUUAAAUAAAGCUGGGAGAAAACACGAGGAAACGCCAAAAUAGAUCGCAUGCUCUACGAUGAUAUUAUUUAUAUAUAUAUUGUCGUAAUUAUUUUUUGCAAUCUAUAGUCAGAAAAAUGCAUUUGUUUGAAGAAUUGCAUUUUCCAAGUAGGCUAUGCAAAUGCAUAGGAAGCAGAAGACAAAAGUAUGAUUAUACUGUGGAAAGAGUCUUUUGGCUGGAGAGAGGGAGAAGGGUUCGUGCAAAAUUUGUAUACUGUUACUGGGGCUUAGAAACUAUUUGUUUAUUCAAAAUUUGUAAGAUUAUUUUGCUGUUUUUGGAAUUAUUUUGUAUGAAAUUACCAUUAUCUUCUUCAUGAUGGCACAGCCUCUUAGCUUCAAUUCUGCAGCCUAAUGGACUUCUGGUAAAAUGAAUAUUGGCCAAUAUUAGAGGGAA